ACACUGUUCAUGGGUUACCGCGGCUGCUGGCACGGAGUUAGCCGGUGCUUCUUCUGUGAGUGAUGUCCUUCCUGCCGGCUAUUAACCCGCAGGCCUUCUUCCUCACUGAAAGUGCUUUACAACCCGAAGGCCUUCUUCACACACGCGGCAUGGCUGGAUCAGGGUUGCCCCCAUUGUCCAAUAUUCCCCACUGCUGCCUCCCGUAGGAGUCUGGGCCGUGUCUCAGUCCCAGUGUGGCUGAUCAUCCUCUCAGACCAGCUACGGAUCGUCGCCUUGGUGAGCCGUUACCUCACCAACCAGCUAAUCCGACAUAGGCUCAUCCGAUAGCGCGAGGCCCGAAGGUCCCCCGCUUUCCCCCGUAGGGCGUAUGCGGUAUUAGCCUGGGUUUCCCCAGGUUAUCCCCGACUACCGGGCAGAUUCCUAUGCAUUACUCACCCGUCCGCCGCUCGCCACCAGGGAGCAAGCUCCCCGUGCUGCCGCUCGACUUGCAUGUGUUAGGCCUGCCGCCAGCGUUCAAU
rnacentral:rRNA from 1 species